rnacentral:lncRNA from 1 species
AGGCUGGAGUGCAGUGGUGUGAUCUCGGCUCACUGCAACUUCCGCCUCCAGGGUUCAAGCAAUUCUCCUGCCUCAGCCUCCCGAGUAGCUGGGACCACAGAUGCACGCCCCCACGCCAGGCUAGUUUUUUUGUUUGUUUUUUGUAUUUUCAAUAGAGAUGAGAUUUUGCCAUGUUGGCCAGGCUGGUCUUGAACUCCUGACCUCAAGUGAUCCACUCGCCUUGGCCUUUCAAAGUGUUGGGAUUAUAGGUGUGAGCCACUGCACCCGGCCUCAAUAUUUCUUUAAAGACAUGGGGUCUCACUGUGAUCUCCCAGGAGUUCAAGCAAUCCUCCUGCUUCAGCCUCCCAAGUAGCUGGGACUAUAGGUGUGCCCUACCACACCCAGCCCUAAAUUAAUUUUUUAAAUGAAGUAUCUCACUAAAUGACAUGACAGCAACUUUGCACAGAUGAGGUGAGUUCCCUUCAUCUCCAAGCCAGUGGUCCCAGAACCUCACCCUAUGCAGUUAGGAGCAAGAGACUGCUGACAAGGAUCCCAUUAAUAGGCCCAAACCAUGCCAUCCUCAGGAAGCCGGACUCAUGGUUGCAGGCCCCUGUCCUCCCACGGGGCCACAGAAAAUAGCAAAGGAAAUGAAAAUGUCCCAUCCAACCCGGGCUCUGAGACCACACUGACAAAGCUUAGUGUCUGAAAGCCAGGGGCCCAACACAGGGCACCUCUCCGCAGCCUCUGUGUUAUUUCAUAGCUGAACAAAUUCUAUCCUAGGCCUUUCUUCUCUCAGAUCCCUCUUCCUCCCUCCUUACGCGGGCUCUGAAUUCCAGGCAUUACACCAACCACAAUCAUACACACAAGGGCCUCGUGCUCUGAUGUAGCCCUUGAAGCAACAGCAGCACCUGAAAGCCUGUUAGGAAGCAGAAUCUUGGGCCCCACCCUGGACACUGCCCAAUCAGAAUCUG